UACGGGGGGGGGCAAGCGUUGUUCGGAAUUACUGGGCGUAAAGGGCUCGUAGGCGGCCAACUAAGUCAGACGUGAAAUCCCUCGGCUUAACCGGGGAACUGCGUCUGAUACUGGAUGGCUUGAAUCCGGGAGAGGGAUGCGGAAUUCCCGAUGGUGAGCGGUGAAAUGCGUAGAUAUCGGGAAGGAACACCGGUGGCGAAGGCGGCACUC
rnacentral:rRNA from 1 species